GUAGGUGGCAAGCGUUGUCCGGAAUUAUUGGGCGUAAAGCGCGCGCAGGUGGUUCUUUAAGUCUGAUGUGAAAGCCCCCGGCUCAACCGGGGAGGGUCAUUGGAAACUGGGGAACUUGAGUGCAGGAGAGGAAAGUGGAAUUCCACGUGUAGCGGUGAAAUGCGUAGAUAUGUGGAGGAACACCAGUGGCGAAGGCGACUUUCUGGCCUGUAACUGACACUGAGGCGCGAAAGCGUGGGGAGCAAACAGGGAUUAGAUACCCUGGUAGUCCACGCCGUAAACGAUGAGUGCUAAGUGUUGGGGGGGUUUCCCGCCCCUCAGUGCUGCAGCUAACGCAUUAAGCACUCCGCCUGGGGAUACGGCGCAAGACUG
rnacentral:rRNA from 1 species